rnacentral:rRNA from 1 species
GAUGAACGCUGGCGGCGUGCCUAAUACAUGCAAGUCGAGCGAACAGACGAGGAGCUUGCUCCUCUGACGUUAGCGGCGGACGGGUGAGUAACACGUGGAUAACCUACCUAUAAGACUGGGAUAACUUCGGUAAACCGGAGCUAAUACCGGAUAAUAUAUUGAACCGCAUGGUUCAAUAGUGAAAGACGGUUUUGCUGUCACUUAUAGAUGGAUCCGCGCCGCAUUAGCUAGUUGGUAAGGUAACGGCUUACCAAGGCGACGAUGCGUAGCCGACCUGAGAGGGUGAUCGGCCACACUGGAACUGAGACACGGUCCAGACUCCUACGGGAGGCAGCAGUAGGGAAUCUUCCGCAAUGGGCGAAAGCCUGACGGAGCAACGCCGCGUGAGUGAUGAAGGUCUUCGGAUCGUAAAACUCUGUUAUUAGGGAAGAACAAAUGUGUAAGUAACUAUGCACGUCUUGACGGUACCUAAUCAGAAAGCCACGGCUAACUACGUG